rnacentral:lncRNA from 1 species
UUUUCAGUGCACAUAUAUGAAUGCAAAUUAUAUGCUAAAAAUUCAAAAUAAGAAAAGAGAACACAACAUCAAACGUCAUCCCAAACCCUCCUCCAAACUUAAAUCACAUAGUCCCUUGUGUAAUAAAAAUUUGAGAGUUGGUUUGACAAUCAAACAAACGAAAGUAUGAAAAUGCAAUGGUAUAUACAGAUAAAGGUUUGGAGUGGUACCUACUGAAAAUAGCAGUCCAGGUACUGAGUCAUGGACUCGCUUGUAUAAGCACCUGGUGCUGGCUGCACAGGAGGAGCCUCUGUAGGAUGCUCAACGUUCUGCUCGACCGGAUCCGCAGUGAGGUCUUGGAAAUGAUACG